GACGAACGCUGGCGGCGUGCCUAAUACAUGCAAGUCGAACGCAGUGGGGAAGGGUGAGUAACACGUGGGUAACCUCCCCAUCCGAGGGGAUAACACUUGGAAACAGGUGCUAAACCGAUACUGAUGGAUUGAACCGCGGUGCAUUAGCUAGUUUGUGGGUUACCGGCUCACCAAGUACACGAUGCAUAGCCGACCUGAGAGGGUGACCUGCCACACUGGGACUGAGACACGGCCCAGACUCCUACGGGAGGCAGCAGUAGGGAAUCUUCGGCAAUGGACGAAAGUCUGACCGAGCAACGCCGCGUGAGUGAAGAAGGUUUUCGGAUCGUAAAACUCUGUUGUUAGAGAAGCGGUAUCUAACCAGAAAGCCACGGCUAACUACGUGCCAGCAGCCGCGGUAAUUC
rnacentral:rRNA from 1 species